UUCCCUCCCACUCACACCUCUCUCCCUCUCAGUCUUCUUUGACCCUCUCAAUCCGGCCAACCACCGCCGUCGGCUGCGGGAAAAUGACGGCCGUAGGUUUCUAUCGCCGGAAACAACCGAAAAUCACAGCCACCUCUCCAUCCCCAUCUUUUUUAAACCAUACAACAUUUCUCCAUCUCCAUCUUCGCCGGAAACUACCGCUGCCCUCCACCACCGUUAGCUACCGGUCGCCGCCGCUUUUUUUCGCUUGAAACAACCACAACGGUCAGCCACCACCACAACAACGGCAUCGGUUUGUUUGCUCUAAUUUCUUUUGAUUUUUCUUAUCUUUUCUAUUUAUUAUAUUGUUGUUUCUUUUUUACAUAACAUUGUAGGUAUCACCACCAUCACCCACCACACCAACCACUAGAACACCACCUGCGGACCACCAACCGCCGCGUCAUCCGGCCACCAGAUUUUUUGGAGGAGCUAAAAUGGGAAGGAUUGCAUAUAUCUUUUUGUUUUUUACGUUGUACAAUUUAAUCUUCUUUGUAUUUAAAUUUUUAUUAGUUUUUGAGUUCAUAUUUUUUUUUUUUGAUUUUAAAGAUGUUGUAAUGAUUUAGUGUAUAAAGUUGUUGUUUAUGUAUAUGUGUUAUAAAUUUUAGUAGAUGUAUUGUUGUUUUUUAA